rnacentral:rRNA from 1 species
UUUUAUCCUGGCUCAGGGAUGAACGCUAGCGGCAGGCCUAUCACAUGCAAGUCGAGGGGUANGGAGAGCUUGCNUCUCCCUAGACCGGCGCACGGGUGCGUAACACGUGUACAAUCUACCUUUUGCUAAGGGAUAGCCCGAAGAAAUUUGGAUUAAUACCUUAUAGUAUUAUUUUAUGGCAUCAUUAAAUAAUUAAAGCUACGGUGGUAAAAGAUGAGUACGCGUCCCAUUAGCUAGUUGGUGUGGUAACGGCAUACCAAGGCUACGAUGGGUAGGGGUCCUGAGAGGGAGGUCCCCCACACUGGUACUGAGACACGGACCAGACUCCUACGGGAGGCCAGCAGUGAGGGAAUAUUGGACAAUGGUCGGAAGACUGAUCCAGCCAUGCCGCGUGCAGGAUGACGGGCCUUAUGGGUUGUAAACUGCUUUUAUACAGGAAGAAUAAGGUCUACGAGUAGAUUGAUGACGGUACUGUAUGAAUAAGCAUCGGCUAACUCCGUGCCAGCAGCCGCGGUAAUACGGAGGGAUGCGAGCGUUAUCCGGAAUCAUUGGGUUUAAAGGGUCCGUAGGCGGGCUUAUAAGUCAGAGGUGAAAGCACUGAGCUCAACUGAGUAACUGCCGUUCUGAAACUGUAGGUCUUGAAUGUUUUGUGAAGUAGCUGGAAUGUGUAGUGUANCGGUGAAAUGCAUAGAUAUUACACAGAACACCGAUUGCGAAGGCAUGUUACUAACAAAUUAUUGACGCUGAUGGACGAAAGCGUGGGGAGCGAACAGGGAUAGAUACCCUGGGNAGUCCACGCUGUAANCGAUGGGAUACUAGCCUGUUUGGAAGUAAUAUUGAGUGGCUAAGCGAAAGUGAUAAGUAUCCCACCUGGGGAGUACGCACGCAAGUGUGAAACUCAAAGGAAUUGACGGGGGCCCGCACAAGCGGUGGAGCAUGUGGUUUAAUUCGAUGAUACGCGAGGAACCUUACCAAGGUUUAAAUGGGAAACGACGUAUCUAGAGAUAGAUAUUUCUUCGGACGUUUUUCAAGGUGCGG